rnacentral:lncRNA from 1 species
GCUCGAAGCCGAAGCCGAAGCCAAAAGCCGAACUGUGGACGAGCUGGGACUCAAGCUCAAGAGCUCGGGAAAAACAAUGCCAGAACUUUGGUUUGCUUGGCUUGAUGGCAGGCUUAGAUAUGCUCUGCUGAAGUGCCUCUUCGUUGUGAAUUUGCUCAAGUACAGGGAUCUUCAAUAGACCACGAGUAUCCCACUAACGAGGCAGAGGUACCUGCUCCUAGAACCCAAUCUAUAUCUGAAUGAUUCAGUUCGAAAUGGG